rfam:Brachypodium distachyon strain Bd21 chromosome 1, whole genome shotgun sequence.
UUGUUCUCAUGAUGAGUUCUAGAGUUUGCCUGCAUUGUUUGAUAAUAUCUUUGUGAUAACAAUUGCAACAUUUGAGGCAUAU